rnacentral:piRNA from 1 species
UGGCCUAUCCUAACAUGACUUCAAAGACCAGU